rnacentral:rRNA from 1 species
GAUGAACGCUGGCGGUGUGCCUAACACAUGCAAGUCGAGCGAUCUUCUUCGGAAGAGAGCGGCGGACGGGUGAGUAACGCGUGGGUAACCUGCCCUGUACACACGGAUAACAUACCGAAAGGUAUGCUAAUACGAGAUAAUAUGCUUUUGUCGCAUGGUAGAAGUAUCAAAGCUCCGGCGGUACAGGAUGGACCCGCGUCUGAUUAGCUAGUUGGUGAGGUAACGGCUCACCAAGGCGACGAUCAGUAGCCGACCUGAGAGGGUGAUCGGCCACAUUGGAACUGAGACACGGUCCAAACUCCUACGGGAGGCAGCAGUGGGGAAUAUUGCACAAUGGGCGAAAGCCUGAUGCAGCAACGCCGCGUGAGCGGUGAAGGCCUUCGGGUCGUAAAGCUCUGUCCUCAAGGAAGAUAAUGACGGUACUUGAGGAGGAAGCCCCGGCUAACUAC